rnacentral:rRNA from 1 species
UACGUAGGGUGCAAGCGUUGUCCGGAAUUAUUGGGCGUAAAGAGCUCGUAGGCGGUUUGUCGCGUCUGCUGUGAAAAUCCAGGGCUUAACCCUGGACCUGCAGUGGGUACGGGCAGACUAGAGUGCGGUAGGGGAGAUCGGAAUUCCUGGUGUAGCGGUGAAAUGCGCAGAAUAUCAGGAGGAACACCGGUGGCGAAGGCGGAUCUCUGGGCCGUAACUGACGCUGGAGGAGCGAAAGCAUGGGGAGCGAACAGGA